CUGCCCCAAGCUACUCACCCUCCCCCUGUGGGGGAGGAAACGAGCAAAUGCUAGAACUUCUGCAGACUGGCUUUUCCAGAUCCUGCUUGUAAACGCUGGUUAAAAAUAAACUCAACAUGUCUGAGAGAGAAGCACCAUGUCUCACAACCCCGCUCCCAGGACAUGGCCGGCCUGCGGUGAGCACUCUGUGCAUGAUCUUAUUUCAUCCUCACAGCACUGAGGAGAGAGCUACUCCUGUCCUCCUUGUUUGGUGGUUCUAGAAGGCCCUGCAGGUGAGGUGACAUCACAAAAGAGACCUGGUGUAUACACGAGGCAAGAGUGUCUCAGGCCACUGGACAAUAUCAUCACAAUC